AUGGCGGCGGCGGCGGACUGGUCAAGCCUUCACCAGGACCUCCUCAGCCGUAUCUUCCUCCUAAUCGCAUGCCUCGCCGACCGCGUCAGGGCCUCCGCCGCCUGCAAGCACUGGCGCCGCGUUGCGCUGGAUGACCCGCCCACGCUCCCCUGGCUCCUCACGCCCUCCACCGCCGGCAUCUCCUGCUACCGCAUCUUCGGCGGCUUAGACCAUCCGCGCCCGUCCAUCCCCGGCGAGGUCCACGGGGCGCGUUUCUGCGGCUCCUUUCCCGGCGGCUGGUUCGUGGCCGCGCAACACGACUGGCGCGCCCACGCCCUGCUCAACCUCCGGUCCGGCGAGCGCGUUCCCCUUCCGGGCCGCGUGCGCAUCCCCCUGUACCCCAUCGUCCUCAAGUGCCCAAUAGUAAUCCGCGUCGCCGCCACGUCCGCCCCGCCAUCGUCUGGCGCCUGCGUCGUCGCUGCCCUAACGUCAGGCCUGACCACCUUGGCGUUCUGGCGCCCGGGCAUGGACUGCUGGUCGCAACCGCCGAUGGGAAUUGUCGUUCCGCACAACGCCCAGGACCUGACAUACCAUGACGGAUGGUUCUGGGCCAUCACCCCCGCGGAGAAUCUCGUGUGCUACAAGCCGGAGAUCAACGAUGGAGACGCCGCCUCUCUUACUAUUCGACAUCUCGUCUACAAGUCCCAUGGACAUGGUCACCACCAGAUGACCACGACGACCCCGACGGCACCCGGGAAGGCCGUCUCCCGCUACCUCUUGCCCUCCGCCUCCGGCGCCGAUCUGCUGAUGGUGAAGAGGUUCGUCGCGCCGGCGAGAGGCGGCGCCACGUUGCGCUUCGAGGUCUUCAGCCUACACAAGGAACAGGACGGACGGUCGGCUUCCUGGCGCUCCUACCCGAUGAGCGGGCGGCUGCUCUUCGUCGGCCGCAGCUGCUCCAAGGCAUUCGACACCGGGCACGCCGGCAGCCCGGGCUACAUCUACUUCCUCGACGACGUCUACCCUAGGGGUCCGCUCAGCGUCCUUCAGCAGAAAGUGUAUCCCUGCGUGGACACUGGCGCGUGGGAUUGCUCCCGUCAGGAAAUCAAGCGCUGCCUGCCAUGCUCGCCUCCCUCGGACAGCUCGCCCUGCAUUUGGUACCUUCAUUGA
rnacentral:rRNA from 1 species